rnacentral:piRNA from 1 species
UCAACCGUAAGUCUACAAGUUCUCAUUUCU